rnacentral:lncRNA from 1 species
AGUCUGCUCAUUUCUGACUGAACAGCCAGCCCAGCAGAACCACACCAGCCAUAGUCAUGUCCAUCAGGAAACAAUGGUUGGAGCCUUCCUGGUCCUUCCAGCUACUCACUGCCACAUUAUUCCCACGGAGUUCCACAAAAGUGUCCCAGCUGCCGCUGUCCUGGAUCCUGUUCUCUAGGUGAUCAUUCAGGUAAGUGGCCACCCAACUUGCGAUCUGACUCACCAAUACCUGCUUCUCCUUGUCUAUGCCUUCCACACACAGGGUUCCUCCAAAGGAGCAAAAGGCCACAAUGCAGCCCCAGUUGACCACAUCCUGGAAGAGUUCCUUCACUACCUGUUCAAAGGUCUGAUGUGCUGUCUCUGGGGUGACGUGGAGCUUGGACGUCAUGUCACUGAAUGCCUGCAGGUACCUGCUGCAGUUCAGACUUGUCGCCUGCCUCCCUCAGUGCUUGCUUCAGUCACCUCCGGGGCAUCCAAACUUCUGUGAUGGCCAGUGGCUCUACUCACCAUGGGGCUGCCCAGCAGACGCCAGGAUGGGUUGUCAUUGAUGGCACUGGUGGGUUCCACCUCUGAUUCAGUCCCUUCUGGGGCUUCAAUGCUGUUCCCUUCCACAUGGCUUAACUGACACCAGCUGUAUCCUUUCUGGGAAAGUUUAUGGGACAGAAAGUCAACCACUAGUUCUAGGUGGCCCUGAGACACUUUUAAAAUAGAGAUGGGCUCAACCACUCCUUGGUCAAAAACACGUGUUUUUGACCAAGACUGAGUCUGGUCUCUGCUUGAUGAUUAUCUUAUGAGAUGAAAAGUCAAGAUAAGGUUGUGUAGCUGUCCUGUUAGGGGCACCUGCCGACCCUCUGGAGGAGCGUGUAGAUCUAUGGCGGAGUCCAUCUCAGGAUGUCCCAGGAAGGCCAAGGCAGGUCCUCCAUCUCCACUCAGGGCCCGUCCCCACAGGCCCAGCCUGCGUCCUUCUCCCAGAACCCGCUGACUGAUCAGGGUCUCCACCUGUGCUGACACCCUCCAGUCGCCAUAACCAACGAAUUUUAUAUCAUGUGCUAUUUGGGAAAUUGCAGAAUUUGAAUAGUGAAAUCCCAUGUUGGAAGAAGCCAUUUAGCAUCUUAAGGGCAAAUCUAAACAUUUUCCCCGAUCUAAUCAUUUUUAUUUUCUUAGUUAUCUGCCUCAUGCCCAUAAUAUAAAUGUAUAUUACUAAAUGUAUGGGAGUGAGAAAUAAGUUUCUUAAUGUUAACAAUGAGUUUCUAAAAUGCUCAGCAAUGAAUAGUAUUAGAAGUAUUAGGCAAAAAAUGUUCCUGGCUGCACCAACAGAUGAGUGCAGUCCAUGUUCUAUGGAAAUGUGCUCCCUGGCUCAGCAUUGGUGAGACUGAGAAUCAUAAGGCAGAAAUGAACAAGCCAAUCAGUUCCUUUUGUCUCCAUCUACUUUUAUUGUAGAAUAAAUGAUACUGCAUUCUUACUGCCACUUUUGAUAGAGUUGUCAUCAAAACUGUUGACAAUUUCCCGUCCCCAAUGGGGUCUCCCAUGCAGGUGGCCGCUUUCAGCUUUAGAACCCAGGAUUUCAGCAUCCGAGUCAUGAACAGAGCAGUCCUUUCUGGAAAGAAGCAUUUAUGCAAGCAUUUGGGGGAGCAGAAAGGAAAAAAAAAAUCUCAUAUGCUUCUUCCUAGUCAAUUUCAACCACCUCUGCCAAGAUCCUGGCUCUGGUCUCCACGACGACAGCCCCCAUGAUUGACAGGAUGAGAAUGUGGCCCUGAGGUUGGAAGGCAGCAGCAUCUGGAAUGCUAUGAGCCAGCUUGAUCCAGGGUCGCUAAACUCCCUACACAAGAAUAAUGUGGAAUGAAAGGCUCAUGUGGCUACUUUUGGAGACGGUUUUCUGGGUGUUUAUUUUUUAUUUUUUAACUUUUGUCAGGAUAAAUUUGGAGUACAAAGUUUCUUAAGGAAGUUUUUAAGAAGAAAAAAAGUGAAAAUUAAUAUUAUAGCAUGUUCUUACUUAGAAUGCAGAUUUCAGAAAUCUGCUUUUAUAUGAGACAUUAACUCUUUUAAUUUUAGAAAAUAAAUUUUAAUUUUGAUGGCAACAAAGUAACAGUCAAAUCUAAUUUUUUAGGAAUUUAUAUCCAUAUCUAAUAACAUCAAUUUUCUUCAUUAGGUAUAAGUUUUAUUUCUUAAAAUGUAUCAAUUUAAAAAUUUUUAAUGCAAGCAUUUCAAGGUGUCAACUUUUCUACAGUUUGUUUCUUGGUAUAGAAAGCUAUCAUUUCAGGGUUAUUCUGUUAAAUGUAAACCUUUAACCCAACCUCAGGCUUUAAAUGUGAAUUCCAGAAAAACCACCACAAGCAAAGAUUUUAAAAAUGAAUUCUAAAAUAUACCCAAUGGAAUAUUUCCAGCCAUAAAGAGAUAUGAAAUUAUGGCACUUGCUGGUAAAUGGAUGGAACUGGAGACUAUCAUGCUAAGUGAAAUAAACCAAUCCCCAAAAAACAAAGGCCGAAUUCUCUCUCUCUGAUGUGCAGAUACUAACUCACAAUGCCAGUGGUUAGGGGAGAAAAGAAGCACUUUGGAUUAGACAAAUGGGAAGGAAGGGAAGGAGGGGGAAUGGGACUAGGAAAGACAGUAGAAUCACCCAGACAUUACUUUCCUAUGCUCAUAUAUGAAUACACAACCAAUGUAAUCCCACAUCAUGUAUAACCAACAGAAUAGGAAGUUGUACUCCAUGUAUGUAUGUCAAAAUACAUUCUAUUGUCAUAUAUAACUGAAAAGAACAAAUAAAAUAGUAAAUAAACUCUAAGAGCAUUUAAUUCUAUGUUGAAUGAUAAUACUAACUCAUUACUAUCUCUAUAAUAAUUUUCUCUUGUAUUAGGGAACUCAUAAAAAUCACUGAGCCAGGUGUAGCCACAAGAUCACUGGCCAUGAUGCUCAGCCCCUUGGGAGCUGCCUCUCUGCCUUUGGUCCCUGGAAACACCUGAACCUGCCCAAAUUCUCUACUCAGCCCUCAUAGUAUCUUUCAUAAUACCCCCUUUCCUUUAUUUUUCACAAAAGCAUUUCUAGGAAAUAUUUUAUUACUUUUCAUAAAUCAAUAGAAAACAACAUAAAUACAUAAAUAAAUAAAUAAACAACAUAAAUACAUCAAAUAGAAUGCAUGAGUGAAAAACAUAAAAUUAUACACAUAAAACAAAAAUGCAUAGAUAAUCCUUCAGAAGAAAUGUUGAUACAUUGAACUUUGUAAAUCACACUUCAGGAAUGAACAUGAAGUCUGGUAGCAAAACCAAGGAAUGUUUAUUGAAACACAUAUUACAUGCAAUCAGAGUGGCAAUCAAACACUAAACCUCAUCAGCCAAUUGUUACUCUCUUACAAAAAGUUAAUUUAAAUAUGCAAUAAGAAUGGUCUGAAUAUACAAGAUAAAUUUUGUACAACCAUUUCAUAAUGACUGCUUAUCUUAUUCUAAGCUGUUAAUUAAAUAUAAUGGAAAUAAGUGGAUCCUAAACUAGGAGUAUUUUCCUCUGUAUGUUUAUAAUCUUCCCACUGCAGGGAAGACUGAAUCAUAACAAUAACACAUUUCUAUCUCUGCAGAUCUGAAACACAACACGCAAGUCCACUGGGCUUCUUUAAAAUAAUUAAAUUGAGUGUUUACUUGGUUAUUAUAAUCUUUGCAACCACUGAAAUGUUUAGAUGUUAAUCUGAUAUUAGAGUCAUCACCAGACCAAAAAUGGUCAUUUGAUAAUGUAAAUGUGAAAUCUGGUUUCAAUGAGAAUAUUUUUACUGUCAUGGUAUAAAUAUUUGAGUGACAUUUUAAGCCUAACUCUCAGGCCACAAAAUGUUUCUUCACAUUAAAAAAAAAAAAAAUGAGAAUGGACAAUUAUGAGUAUGCUCCCCAACCCUCACCCUCUGGGUUUUCCUCUUGUGUCAACUCUUUCCUAUCUGUAUCUGAUAACUAAGUACCAUGCUUGAUUUUUAAGGGAUAAAGAAACUCAAGCUGUACUUAAACCCAGAUCUUUGGAAUAUUACAUGAAGGGAGCAAAUCUUCAACUCCAUGACUACAUCACCAACAUUUACAAGGAUACACUUAGAGGGGGCAGAGUUCAUGUUCAGCUGUACUUCCUAAAUGAAUUAACUCAUCUUUCACAGAAAAAUCAGUCUGACUCUUUAGAAGGUUGUAGAGCACUUUAUUUUUAAUUGUAUUCACUGAUUUAAUCAUUUGAACUAUUAUUCCUGCAACAGAAAAGGUAAUUUACUCAAUGACGCUGAAGUGUUGUGAUGGGAUACAGCUUCCUUCACACUGCAUAGGAAGGAAAUCUCUACUAUCUGCACAGCCUACCCGUGGUCUUCUCCCACAUGAUGUCCUGGGUCGGUGGGCAUUGCCCAUCAGCAGGACUCUUCCCAUCACAGAGGCAUUGUGUGGUGGCCUGCUGACUUCCCCCAGUGACUCAGACGUUGGCUCAUUUACUUGUUUAUAUAUUUGAAAUUUUCAUGAUCAGCUUACUUGACCAGUAACCUUUCCAUAGCCUAUUCUAGAACUAAAAAGAGAUGAAAUAAAUGGAAAAAAAAUGCAUAGCCCCUAACAAUUCCCUUCUGACUUAAUUUCCUUUAUGAGCAUUUAAUGGCACCCAAUAAGGGAGAAAUCUAUCCAGAAAAAAAUAAAAAUAAAUUUAUAAUAAAACAAACAGAAGAUAACAUGCAAAAUCCAAUUUCUUCAAAUUCAUUAAAAUGCAAAUAAUUAUUUUUUGAGAUAAAGGAAUGGAAAAUAACUAAAGACAAAGACGAAAGUUCUCCCUGAGGAAGGAGUAGAGACAGCAGCUGACUCACCAUCUCUCUGAUCUAGACUUGCAAACCCAAGGCCAUGGCUGCUGGGAGCUCCGAGGAGCCACCGAAGGACCCCAGGCAAGGCAGAGGCCAGCAAAGCAUCACAUUGUCUACAGAGAAAAGCCACUCGUGCAGCUGAGCACUCUGGGAGAAGCUCUCCUCUCUCUUCUUCCUGACAUCUCUCCUUUCUUUUUUGGUUGCCAGGCUAGAACUUGCACCAUCUUGGUCAUUAGCACAUUAGCCCUUGUCUAACAACAGGCUGAUACAGAAAAUAAAGGCCCUGGUUCCCAGCCUUUGCUAUUGCCCUAGUGUAACUGUUCCAAACAUGGCCAAGUCAAAGUCCUCCCUGUGAUGUCCUGAACGGGGGCUGGGAAGGCAUGCAGUCACCCACCACAGAGCACUUCCACCACGUACACAGAAGACAUGUAAACAGCCUGAAGAGCAGGAGUAACUGCAAGAUAGCACAAAAGAGGUGAGUUAGUAAGAGGUGAGUUUUGAUAAUUGAUCACCUGUGUAUUUUUUGAGGAGGGUAGUUACUGGGGAUUGAACUCAGGGGCACUCAACCACUGAGCACAUUCCCAGCCCUAUUUUGUAUUUUAUUUAGAGACAGGAUCUCACUGAGUUGCUUAGUCCUCUCUUUUGCUGAGGCUGGAUCAAACCCAGUGCCUCAUGCUUGCUAGGGCUAGGCAAGCUCUCUACCACUGAGCCCCAGCCCCAGCCCCCAUGGGGUCUUAACAAUAAUUUGACUGACUAUAAAUAGUCUGGCUGAUUAUAAAUAGUUUGACUAUAAAUUACAAAGUUAUCUCCCCUUAUUACUUACUGUUUCUGCAUUUCUUUUUGCUUCUGGUAUCACUGCCCUGCUGAUGUCAAAGUAGCUUUUAUUCCUUCCACAGCAAAUCGGUUCAUAUCACUAUCUUUGGUGGUUUAAAAUGUGACCUUGACGUUUCUAGGUGUGUUUUUUGUUUGUUGGGUGGUUUUUUUUUUUUUUUCCUUUUCAUUUAUCUAUCUCAGUAUAACAAAAGCUUCUAUAAUUAGAACACAUUAUGUUUUACUAGUAUUAGAAAGUUUUUCUGUUCUUUGCAAAUUUAUGGAACUGACUUUAUGGACAAAGAAGGAUGUAAAUAUUCCAUAAAUAAUUGAGGCUGCAUAAUAUUUUUCAAUUGUUAUAUAUAAGCCACAAAAAUCAAACUGGGAAAUAGUUUAUUAAAAUCUCCUCUAUAUUUAUCCUUUCAUUUUAAUUGUUUCCUAUGUAUCCAUUUUAACCAAUUAUUUUCCUUCUGCUCUCUUCCUUCUUCUUUGAGUUGACUUUAAUCUCCCACUCUAUUUUUUCUUUUAUUAGUUGGAAUCUCUCCAUCUUUUACCACUCCUUUGGCCAUCCUCCUUGAUAUAUUAUGCUGAUUCUGCCUAACAACUAACCAAAGCAUAAAAUUAAACAAAUUUCAACUCUCUUCACCAAAUAAUGUAGAAACCAAGAAUGCUUUAAUUCUGACUUCCUUUCCACCUUUAUUCCCAGUUAUUCACUUAGUCUUGCCUUCUUUGCUUUAAUACCACCAACUACACAGACAUGUUGUUUAUACACCUUUGCUAUUAUUUCAACUCUGCAAUUAGUUUCAGGAGCAUCAUUUGUGUAACAACUUCGGGAUUCUAACUACUCACACCUGCCCCUAUAAUGGCUUCCUUUCUGCCCCUCCCCCUCCGUCCAUUAGAAGGGUUGGUGGUCUGGCAUCCUCUUAAGUCUUAAAGAUUUUACUUUUCUGUGAAUGACUACCUUCCCACUACUCUUGGAAGCUAAAUCUAUCACCCUUGGUGUUUAUUCCCUCUCAGAACUCUGAGAGCUCAUGGGGCUGAGUGUUUCACUGUUUGCUAACUCUACCUUGGGCUGCUUUCUACAGCUUCUCUGUACUUCUGGUGUUGGACCUUUCCCCUAUGGUGGUGUUGGUGGUCUGAACUGGUUUCUUUUUAUUCCUAGGCAUUUCAAACUCUUCUGGACUCUCAAGAUUGGUGACCUGCUUGAAUGAUGAGAAUCCUUAUAAAUCGUCCAUUAUGUCUUUCCUCCUCCAGAACCCAGAUCAGAUGUGUGGAUCUCGUUGCUCUCCACCCUGCCCCUUUAACCCGUGUCUUAUAUUUUCCUUCUCUUUCUCUCUCUGGGGUGUAUGCUGGCUAUUUAUUUCAGAUUUGUCUUGAAGCGGCUGAGUCUUUCUCCACCUGUGUCUACUCUUCUGUUUGAGAAUUCACUGAAUUCUUGAUUUCAAUAAUUCACUUUUCAUGUCUAGAUAACAUUCUUUUCAAUUCUGCUUGAUCAUUUUCAUAUAAAGAAUGUUUCUUUAUAUGAAGGAAACUUUAUGUAAAAGAAAUUCUUUAUUUCAUUAUUCCUAUCUUCUGUUUCUUUAGACGUAUAACACAUUUUGGCAUUCUAAACCCAUUUUCAAUAUCUCCAUCCAUUUUGAUCUCAUCCUGUAUUCUGUUAUUUCCUCCUGUGAAGUAGUUUGUUUCCUUACGCAUUUAAAAUUUUUGUUUCUAUUGUGAGCUGUGGUGGCCAGACACCAUAUAUUUUUUCCAAGACUUUAGAAAUACCAGUCAGAUAACAAGCAGCCCACGUGUCCAGGGUCUAUUAUCAUCACACAGACACCUGGACAAUGGCUGGAGAAUCCUUUUCAGCUCACAUAAAGUAUGUGAAGUUGGAAGAAGAUUUAUGCUGUUAAUAGCAAGUUGAUCCAAACAGUUAAAAUCUGAGGGAUUACAUAUAUUAAUUUAAACUUCUUGGCACUUCUUUAUUUUUAGAGAUGAGGAAACAGACACAGAGAAGGGAAGCAUGUUACCUGAGAU